ACGGGAGUAGCUCAGUUGGUAGAGCAUCGGUCUCCAAAACCGGGUGUCGGGAGUUCGAACCUCUCCUCCCGUG
rnacentral:tRNA from 1 species